CCCUUAGAUGUUCUGGGCCGCACGCGCGCUACACUGAUGCAUUCAACGAGUCUAAAACCUGGUCUGAGAGGGCUGGGUAAUCUUUUGAAAGUGCAUCGUGAUUGGGAUAGAUGAUUGCAAUUCUUCAUCUUCAACGAGGAAUGCCUAGUAAACGCAAGUCAUCAGCUUGCAUUGAUUACGUCCCUGCCCUUUGUACACACCGCCCGUCACUCCUACCGAUUGAACGAUCCGAUGAAAACUGUGGAUUGAGAGUCUGAGUGGGUUCGCCUACCUCAACUUUCGAGAAGCGGUUUAAAUCUUAUCGUUUAGAGGAAGGAGAAGUCGUAACA
rnacentral:rRNA from 1 species